rfam:Myotis lucifugus cont2.13551, whole genome shotgun sequence.
CUUGUGGGGGAGGGAAUCCCUCAGCCCAGAUUGUGAGAGGGUGCAGGCCAGGCCGAGGGACCCCACCGGUGCAUG